rnacentral:miRNA from 1 species
ACUCAUUUUUGUCUCACAAAAA